UACGGAGGGUGCAAGCGUUGUCCGGAUUUAUUGGGUUUAAAGGGUGCGUAGGCGGCUAAUUAAGUCAGCGGUGAAAGUUUUGGGCUCAACCCAGAAAUUGCCAUUGAUACUGGUUAGCUUGAGUAUUGGAGGGGUACAUGGAAUUGAUGGUGUAGCGGUGAAAUGCAUAGAUACCAUCAGGAACACCGAUAGCGAAGGCAUUGUACUGGCCAAUAACUGACGCUGAUGCACGAAAGCAUGGGUAGCGAACAGG
rnacentral:rRNA from 1 species